GGAUGUGAGGGUCAUCUGGCUGCGACAUCUGUCACCCCAUUGACUGCCAGGGUUGAUUCAGCUGAUCUGGCUGGCUAGGCGGGUGUCCCCUUCCUCCCUCACUGCUCCAUGUGUGUCCCACCCAAAGCUGCAGCACUUGGUCAAAGAGGACGGCCUUCUCCAAAUGGAAAAAGAACAGUCUUCGAUCUUUGAUCGAGGGUAUAUGAGUAGCUGCGCUCCCCUGCUAGAACCUCCCAACAAGCUCUCAAGAUCCUUUUUUCUCUGGACAGCAGCUUCCAAAUUACUGCUAUUAUCAGGUGGCUUCAACUU
ensembl:misc_RNA 7SK 7SK RNA